AGACCCGAAACCCGGUGAUCUAGCCAUGGGCAGGUUGAAGGUUGGGUAACACUAACUGGAGGACCGAACCGACUAAUGUUGAAAAAUUAGCGGAUGACCUGUGGCUGGGGGUGAAAGGCCAAUCAAACCGGGAGAUAGCUGGUUCUCCCCGAAAGCUAUUUAGGUAGCGCCUCGUGAAUUCAUCUCCGGGGGUAGAGCACUGUUUCGGCUAGGGGGCCAUCCCGGCUUACCAACCCGAUGCAAACUGCGAAUACCGGAGAAUGUUAUCACGGGAGACACACGGCGGGUGCUAACGUCCGUCGUGAAGAGGGAAACAACCCAGACCGCCAGCUAAGGUCCCAAAGUCAUGGUUAAGUGGGAAACGAUGUGGGAAGGCCCAGACAGCCAGGAUGUUGGCUUAGAAGCAGCCAUCAUUUAAAGAAAGCGUAAUAGCUCACUGGUCGAGUCGGCCUGCGCGGAAGAUGUAACGGGGCUAAACCAUGCACCGAAGCUGCGGCAGCGACACUGUGUGUUGUUGGGUAGGGGAGCGUUCUGUAAGCCUGUGAAGGUGUGUCGUGAGGCAUGCUGGAGGUAUCAGAAGUGCGAAUGCUGACAUAAGUAACGAUAAAGCGGGUGAAAAGCCCGCUCGCCGGAAGACCAAGGGUUCCUGUCCAACGUUAAUCGGGGCAGGGUGAGUCGACCCCUAAGGCGAGGCCGAAAGGCGUAGUCGAUGGGAAACGGGUUAAUAUUCCCGUACUUGGUGUUACUGCGAAGGGGGGACGGAGAAGGCUAUGUUGGCCGGGCGACGGUUGUCCCGGUUUAAGCGUGUAGGUGUGUGUUCCAGGUAAAUCCGGUUCACUUUAACACUGAGGCGUGACGACGAGGCACUACGGUGCUGAAGCAACAAAUGCCCUGCUUCCAGGAAAAGCCUCUAAGCAUCAGGUAACAUCAAAUCGUACCCCAAACCGACACAGGUGGUCAGGUAGAGAAUACCAAGGCGCUUGAGAGAACUCGGGUGAAGGAACUAGGCAAAAUGGUGCCGUAACUUCGGGAGAAGGCACGCUGACACGUAGGUGAAGUGAUUUACUCAUGGAGCUGAAGUCAGUCGAAGAUACCAGCUGGCUGCAACUGUUUAUUAAAAACACAGCACUGUGCAAACACGAAAGUGGACGUAUACGGUGUGACGCCUGCCCGGUGCCGGAAGGUUAAUUGAUGGGGUCAGCGCAAGCGAAGCUCCUGAUCGAAGCCCCGGUAAACGGCGGCCGUAACUAUAACGGUCCUAAGGUAGCGAAAUUCCUUGUCGGGUAAGUUCCGACCUGCACGAAUGGCGUAAUGAUGGCCAGGCUGUCUCCACCCGAGACUCAGUGAAAUUGAACUCGCUGUGAAGAUGCAGUGUACCCGCGGCAAGACGGAAAGACCCCGUGAACCUUUACUAUAGCUUGACACUGAACAUUGAGCCUUGAUGUGUAGGAUAGGUGGGAGGCUUUGAAGUGUGGACGCCAGUCUGCAUGGAGCCGACCUUGAAAUACCACCCUUUAAUGUUUGAUGUUCUAACGUGGACCCGUGAUCCGGGUUGCGGACAGUGUCUGGUGGGUAGUUUGACUGGGGCGGUCUCCUCCUAAAGAGUAACGGAGGAGCACGAAGGUUGGCUAAUCCUGGUCGGACAUCAGGAGGUUAGUGCAAUGGCAUAAGCCAGCUUGACUGCGAGCGUGACGGCGCGAGCAGGUGCGAAAGCAGGUCAUAGUGAUCCGGUGGUUCUGAAUGGAAGGGCCAUCGCUCAACGGAUAAAAGGUACUCCGGGGAUAACAGGCUGAUACCGCCCAAGAGUUCAUAUCGACGGCGGUGUUUGGCACCUCGAUGUCGGCUCAUCACAUCCUGGGGCUGAAGUAGGUCCCAAGGGUAUGGCUGUUCGCCAUUUAAAGUGGUACGCGAGCUGGGUUUAGAACGUCGUGAGACAGUUCGGUCCCUAUCUGCCGUGGGCGCUGGAGAACUGAGGGGGGCUGCUCCUAGUACGAGAGGACCGGAGUGGACGCAUCACUGGUGUUCGGGUUGUCAUGCCAAUGGCACUGCCCGGUAGCUAC
rnacentral:rRNA from 1 species